rnacentral:rRNA from 1 species
UACAGGGGGGGCAAGCGUUGUUCGGAAUUACUGGGCGUAAAGCGUGCGCAGGCGGUUCGUUGUGUCGGUGGUGAAAUCCCCGGGCUUAACCUGGGAAUGGCCAUGGAAACUGGCGGACUGGAGUGCGGCAGAGGGGGGUGGAAUUCCGCGUGUAGCAGUGAAAUGCGUAGAGAUGCGGAGGAACACCGAUGGCGAAGGCAGCCCCCUGGGCUAGCACUGACGCUCAGGCACGAAAGCGUGGGGAGCAAACAGG